CUGUAACAACUUAUAUAAAAAAUAUUCUUUGAAUUUUAACAUGCUAAAGCUUGGCAAUAGAGACCCUCAUAUGAAUCAACAAAUUAAAUCAAUCCCAUGCUCAAUCAAGAAGAGAAGUACAUUGGCAGUCUCACACUCAAUUUUAGAACAAAUGGCCAUAAUAAUUUACAUGUGAAAAUAAUCUUUUUUAUUGUAAACCAAGAACCUAUAUUAACCAUAUUCAUUCAACCUUCAACUGAAAAUCCAUUUGUAAAUGUCUAAACAAAACUACUACUGCAAAUGAGACCAUUUAACUUAAAAGUGAAGUCAUAAAACUACAUGGGUUCAAAAUUUAAUUCAUACUCUUUCACACAACCAAACAACGGAGGGCCAAGCGGAAUUAUAUCCUAAACUUUGGUAAGACUAAAGAUGCUUAACACAGUUUAAUUAACUAACAUAUAGUUAUAACAUUAUCCAACAUUCAAGAGCAUGUAAAAAUUUGGCUUUCAUUCCAACUUCAUUUUAGGAGUUUAUAUAGUCCGAAAGUUACCUGGACAACAAAAAGAAGAACAAAUACAGUAAAUUCAGCUCUCUCCAAAAUUAAAAAGUGGACAGCAAAACAGCGAAGCAGGAAAAACAGCAACAAACGGUAGAUUUCGAACCCAAGAAGAUCGACCAGAAAUACCAAGUAGUACAACACUUGAAACAAGUAGCUUAUUUGCUCUAGAAAUUGACUAGAAUCCCUCUAUUUCUUACAAGUUUUGCACUCAAAGAAACACUCACCAAGCUUAGAAUUUCAGCUUACUAUUGGAUAUGUAUUAAACAUUUUUUAAUUUCAGCUUUUAUCAGCACAAACUCAAAUACUCAAACCUAAUCCAAUCAUGAAAUUGACAAAGCAACAAAAAGACUUCAAUUGGAACUAAACUAAAUAUCCAAUGAACUAGAUUAAAUAAGUUUGAUUUAUGCAACUAACAGAAAUGACAAUUGAAAUUAGAAAACACAACUUAAACUUUAACUUAAAUGAACAUUGGUAAGCUAUCGAACAACAAUUAUAUCAACUUAAACAAACCACUAACCAAAUGACGAUUCAACUACACUUAACUAUCUCGAUCGAUAAACAAGUUGUUAAACAACUAGGUAAACAAAGAUGACUUAAAUAAUCAAUCAUGCUAACUUGAAACUCUAAUUAGCAGCGAUUGAUAAAAAACAGAAAUAAAAAUAAAAAUUAGGAACUAAACUACUGCUACUAAAUUAAAAAUUAAACAAAGGGAUGACGAUUAUACCUAACAUACACACUGGAUGCCAAAUCGAGCAACGAGGUGAACAUCGAGUACGAUUUUCUAAUUCGUGAAUCGUGACAGUAAUGUCAAAAGAUAGCCUCUAUUGAGCUCUGUCAUGUAUGUGAACAUUAGGGAGGGGAAGAUGACUCAAUCUUCACGAAUUUAAAGAAAAAAAGGCUGCUGGGGUUUCGAAUUAGGCCAAAUUCGUGGAGAUUGGUGACGAUUCUGAGGAUUUGAGUCACGGAUUUGGAAAGAGGAGGAAGAUGCGAGGAUAUGAUGAAAUUGUUUAGGGCAUUUGGACCACUGCCCUCGACGGCGGCUGAGAGAAAGGGGAGAGAAGAAAGGGGGCUAGGGUUUGAGUUAUGUGAAAAAUGGCCAAAAAUCUGAUUUAAAAGGCAUUAUAUAUCUUAAAGGAGAUUAAAUGAGGACCGUUGGAUCUUGAGAAUUGAAGGAUUGAGAUUGGAUCUUUGUUUCACUUAAUGAAACAACAUAGUUUAAUC
rnacentral:lncRNA from 1 species